UACGAAGGGGCUAGCGUUGCUCGGAAUCACUGGGCGUAAAGGGUGCGUAGGCGGGUCUUUAAGUCAGGGGUGAAAUCCUGGAGCUCAACUCCAGAACUGCCUUGAUACUGAAGAUCUUGAGUUCGGGAGAGGUGAGUGGAACUGCGAGUGUAGAGGUGAAAUUCGUAGAUAUUCGCAAGAACACCAGUGGCGAAGGCGGCUCACUGGCCCGAUACUGACGCUGAGGCACGAAAGCGUGGGAGCAACAGG
rnacentral:rRNA from 1 species